CCUAUGGGCCAAUCUAUAGGGGCGGUGGCCCCCAUCCCACACCGCCUGAUAUAACUGAUAGGGGCCGAAAAACCCCGAACCCACAAGGUCCCCAUAUGGGGCAGGGAUGGGAUCUCUCGCCCUGAUUGGUGGAUCUAUGGGGUGUGGGUGGGGGGGAUGCAAAAGGGGGAAAUUGGGGCGCUGUUGUGGGGUGGGGAGGGGGAAUAUAGGGGCAAAUCGGGGCCCCAAUAGAGUUGGGGGGGUGAACUGUGAGGUGGGGUGAUAAUGUGGUGGGGUUAUGGGGUGAUAUCAGGGGGAAAUGGGUCCCAUUGUGGUGGGGUUAUGGGGUGAUAUAGGGGGAAAUUGGGGUCCAAUUGUGGUGGGUUUAUGGGGUGAUAAUGUGGUGGGGUUAUGGGGUGAUAUAGGGGGAAAUUGGGGUCCCAUUGUGGUGGGGUUAUGGGGUGACAAUGUGGUGGGGUUAUGGGGGUCUCCAGUCCAUUGGGGUCUUCCAGUUCAAUCCCAGUCUAUUUGGGGUUCUUCCCCAAUUCAAUCCCAGUCUUAUUUGGUCUUCCAGUUCAAUCCCAGUUGGUUUGGGGUCUUCCCCAGUUCAAUCCCAGUUGGUUUGGGGUCUUCCCAGUUUCAAAUCCCAGUCUAUUUGGGGUCUUCCCAUGUUCAUCCCAGUCUAUUUGGGGUCUUCCCAGUUCAAUCCCAGUUGGUUUGGGGUCUUCCCAGUUCAAUCCCAGUUGGUUUGGGGUCUUCCCAGUUCAAUCCCAGUCUAUUUGGGGUCUUCCCAGUUCAAUCCCAGUUGGUUUGGGGUCUUCCCAGUCCAUUUCUGCCUCUUCCAUUGACGUGGUAUAUGGCCGAAGGGCUGAGAAAUGGGGUAAAAUGGGGGAAAAUAGGGAAAGUAAUGGGGGAAAUAGGGGAAAUUAGGGGGGAAAUAGGGAAGUAUGGGGGAAAUAGGGGAAGUAAUGGGGGAAAAUGGCGGGGAAUAAUGGGGGAAAUAGGGGAAAUUAGAGGGAAAUGGGGGGAAAUAGGGGAAAUUAAAGGGGGAAAUAAGGGGGAAUAGGGGAAAUAAUGGCGGAAAUAGGGAAAUAAGGGGGCAAAUAAUGGGAAUGGGGGAAAUAAUGGGGGAAAUAGGCCGGAAAUUAAGAGAGAAUGGGGGAAAUAGGGGAAAUUAAGGGAAAUAGGGGGGAAUGGGGGAAACAAUGGGAAAUGGGAAAUUAAGGAGGGAAAUGGGGGGAAAUGGGGAAAUUAAAGGGGGAAAUAGGGGGAAAUGGGGGAAUACUGGGAAAUAGGGGAAAUUAGGGGGGAAAUGGGGGUAAAUAGGGGAAAUUAAGGGGGAAAUAAGGGGGAAGUAGGGGGGAAAUGGGGAAAUAAUGGAGGGAAAUGGGGGAUUAAUUGGGGGAAAACAGGGGAAAUGGCGGGAAAGUAAAUGGGGAAAUAGGGGAAAUGGGGGGAAAUAAUGGGGAAAUGGGGGAAAUAAUGGGGGAAAUGGGGAAAAUAAUGGGGGAAAUAAGGGGAAUAGGGGGGAAUAAUGAUUGGAAAUAGGGGAAAUAAUGGGGGAUAAUGGGGAAAAUGGGGAAAUAAUGGGGGAAAGUGGGAAAUAGGGGAAAUAAUGGGGAUAAUGGGGACAAUAAUGGGAAUAUUGGGGGAAAUAGGGGGAAUGGGGGAAUCAUGAUGGGGAAAUAGGGGAAUAAUGGGGGAUAAAUGGGGGAAAUGGAGAAAUAAUGGGGGGAAAUGGCGGGAAAUGGGGGGCAAUAAUGAAUGGAAAUACGCGGGAAAUAAUGGGGGAAAUGGGGGAAUAAUGAUGAUAGGGCAAUAAUGGGGGAUAAUGGGAAAAUGAGGGAAAUAAUGGGGAAAAUUGGGGGAAAUAAUGGGGGACAAAUGGGAAAUGGGCGGAAAAUAACAUGGGGGAAAUGGGGUGGGAAAUAUGGGUGGGAAUGGGGAAAAGGGGGGAAUAUGAUGGAAAUAGGGGAAAUUAAUCGGGAUAAUGGGGGAAAUGAGCGGAAAAUAAUGGGGAAAAAUGGGGGAAAUAAUGGGGGAAAUCAGGGGAAAUGGGGGGGAAUAAUGAUGGAAAUAGGGAAAUAAUGGGGAAAAUGGGGGGAAAAUGGGGGAAAUAAUGGGGGAAUGGGGGAAAUAAGGGGGAAAAUGGGGGGAAAUAGGGGGAAAUAGGGAUAAUAAUGGGGAAAAUGGGGGGAAUAUGGGGAAAUAGGGGAAAUAAUGGGGGAAAUAGGGGCAAUGGGGGGGAAUAAAUGGGGAAUAGGGGAAAUUAAUGGGGGAAAU
ensembl:lncRNA